UACGAAGGGGGCUAGCGUUGCUCGGAAUCACUGGGCGUAAAGCGCACGUAGGCGGAUUGUUAAGUCAGGGGUGAAAUCCUGGAGCUCAACUCCAGAACUGCCUUUGAUACUGGCGAUCUCGAGUCCGGGAGAGGUGAGUGGAACUGCGAGUGUAGAGGUGAAAUUCGUAGAUAUUCGCAAGAACACCAGUGGCGAAGGCGGCUCACUGGCCCGGUACUGACGCUGAUGCGCGAAAGCUAGGGGAGCGAACGGG
rnacentral:rRNA from 1 species